GCCCCACUUGUGCCGUUUGUGAUGCCCAAAGAAAUUAAGGAUAUUAAGGCUUUUUUAAUGACGGUCCGUCGUCCUGAUGCUCGCCUUGUAACUAUCAAAAAGAACAAAUCCAAUACUAAGUUUAAAGUGAGAUGCUCAAGAUAUUUGUACACCCUAAAAGUCGCUGAUAGUGACAAAGCUGCUAAAGUCGAAUCCUCUCUACCUCCUGCCCUCAAGAAGGUCAUUAAGUGAGAAAAAUCGUCAAUUAGAAGUCCUUUGUUUGUGUUAACUCUAAAUUUUAGAUGAAGGAGCGGU